GGGAAGGCAGCUAAGGCCCGGCGAGAAAUCGAGGGCAGCGCCGGUGGGCUGGCACUGCUGGGGGACCCAGUAUACCCUCCGCAGCCGCUGGCCCGGGUGCUAAGCCCCUCAUUGCCCGGGGCCGGCAGGGCCGGCCGGCUGCUCGGAGUGCAGGGCCCAACAAGGCCACGCCCACCCGGAACUCCAGCUGGCCUGCAAGCGCCGCCCGCAGCCGCGGUUCCCGCCGGCGCCUCUCCCUCCACACCUCCCUGCAAGCUGAGGGAGUGGGCUCCGGCCUUGGCCAGCCCAGAAAGGGGCCCCCACAGUGCAGCGGUGGGCUGAAGGGCUCCCCAGGUGCAUCCAAAGUGGGAGCCCAGGCAGAGGAGGCGCCGAGAGCGAGAGAGGGCUGUGAGGACUGCCAGCACGCUGUCACCUCUCAGAACCAGGGGAGAAACCUGAGAAGUGUCUUUCAGCACACUACCUGGAUCCUAAUGGCUACUUCUGCAGAGAGAACACCAGAGGGGAAAGGAAUCUAUCAGAAGGCAAGAAUGAGGAUGAGGAUGUUCACAGCGAAGUGGAAUGGAUUCACUUGUUUGAAAUUUGUCAACUUUUCUGAGAAGCCUUGGAGGAAAAUGAAUUAAUUUUUAAGCUAAAGAUAAUGUUCUGACAGAUACCAGAGUUGAAGAAAACCCUAAUGAUAUGGAAAUAAGGAGAGGGUGGUUUUAUAUUUGCGUAUUUUCAUCUUUGCUUUCAAUCCAAAUUUUUAGAAAAGUUGUCCUGUCACAGCAACAAAUGCAGGUGGCUUUACUUAAGGAUUUAAUUUCUCCUUUGUAUUUUAGCAGUUCCUACAACACUUUUUUACUUCUUGCUUGUAGCUGUAGUCUUCACAUUUUCAAAGGACUUAAAAUACUGCCGCUAUUGAAAAUUUUGCUCAAGAAGCAGUAUUUAAAAUUAUGACAUUACCCAAAUAAAAAUGGAAAACUAAUAAACACACAAA
rnacentral:lncRNA from 10 species